ensembl:lncRNA
GCUCUGGGGGUUUUCAUAACAACCAUGUUAUUCAAUAUGUCUUGCUUUUGCUUAGCGUCUUCCUUUAUGAUGAAUUAAAAUAAUGUGCAGUGACAAAGUCUCUUAAUGUGGCCUGUAAGUCGCUGUGUGACUGGGUCUGGCUAGUGUGAAUUAAAUCCUUUCACAUCUUUAGAUGGGUUGCUGUUCACCUUUUUUUGGUCUCUCUCUCCCUUAUUUCAUGUGCUCUCUUUGAGCCAUAAGCUUCUUUUCCACCCCUACCCUUUUGGACACCAGUUGCAUGAGAGAAAUGGCAUGUUUCUGAAGUAAAAGCUGAACUAGUUGGUAGAGUCCUAACCAUUGUGAUGUUUGAACUGAAAUCUGUCUUUGCUACACAGGAAGAUAUAAUGUCCUCUGAUGGAAUUACACUGAAGGAACUGAAAGUCUACCGAUAGAGGAAGCCAUGAUUCUGUGUGCUUAAAGUACCUGAAUUCUUGGGUUUCAUAGUUAGAUGUGUAAAUCAAAUGACAUGUGUAUAUUUACUACAAGUUUCACUUCAAAAAGUCAGACAGAUGAUCCAACGGUAGCUGCACGGAUCUCAGGCUCAACAAACCUCAACAAAUCUCAAACCUCUACAAAUGAUUCAGAAUGCAUCAACACGACUGGUCUUCAACCAGUCCAAAAGAGCCCAUGUUACACCUCUCUUUAUCUCCUUGUACUAGCUACCGGUUGCGGCUCGCAUCAAGUUCAAGACAUUGAUGCUUGCAUAUAGAACAACCUCAGGCUCAGCACCUGCCUACUUCCACUCACUUCUACAGAUCUACAUCCCCUCCAGAAGUCUGAGAUCCGCUAGUGAGCGAUGAUUCAUGGUACCAUCACAGAGAGGCUCAAAAUCACUUUCCAGAACAUUCUCGUGCACCAUUCCUGGCUGGUGGUAUGAUCUUCCCACCCCUAUCCGGAAUGCGGAAUCCCUGACAAUUUUUAAGCGACAGCUGGAAACUUAUCUCUUUUGAUGCUACUUGACUUCAUCAUAAAAAAAAAGUCUUUCUCUUUAUUUAUUUAUUCUUUUUCUAGCUUGUACUUAUUGGAACAAUGUCUACAACUUGGUAUUACAAGCACUUUCUGUGUCUGUUUGCCUCUUUAAGAAGAAUCACUUUAUGUAUCCCCCAAUUGUAAGUCGCUUUGUAUAAAAGCAUCUGCAAAAUGACUAAAUGUAAAUGUGAUUACAGUCAGUGCUGUUUGGACAGAUAAAAAGAAAGCAAAAUGUCUGACUGUAUUGUUGACAACAGAGGGAGGUCACCAUUAAAUCACAAUUUUUUAAUUAAUGUUGAUGAUAAUGACCAAAGAAUAGCCUAAGGGCUUGCCUAAUAUUACUUUACCUUUAAAGCUGGUACUGCAAGUGAUUUUUGUGGAAUGGUGUGCAGAAAAUUAUCCAAAUUACCUGAAAGAUGUCAGUGAAAUAACUGCUCUGAGUUAUCAUGCAUAUCUGUGUAACAGACCCAGUCUCUGCAAACAAUAAAAUAAAAAUAAAAAAUCAGAUGGACACUGUUAGUUUUUGUUUGUUUUGUAGCACUAUCUGCUUGACAGUCAUUUUGGGUAUUUAUAGCUGACAGUCCAUAUAUGGAAAGGCUGAAACUAAGAGCGCUUGUGGCAUUUUUCUUGAGUUUGGAGGGAGCAAAUUGUUCACAAUUUCUCAUUUGUCAACAAUGGCUUGCAGAACCAAACAUCUUAAAAGGAAUAACAAGACAAAGAAAAAUAAAGAGACAAAGCUUCGAAAGAGUUUCAAAGCACUUGAAGAGUUUGCCUCACUUUAGCUUGAUAAGUACAAAUAUGU